rnacentral:rRNA from 1 species
AGUAACACGUGGGUAACCUGCCUUAUAGUGGGGGAUAGCCUUUCGAAAGGAAGAUUAAUACCGCAUAAGAUUGUAGUAUCGCAUGAUAUAGCAAUUAAAGGAGCAAUUCGCUAUAAGAUGGACCCGCGUCGCAUUAGCUAGUUGGUGAGGUAAUGGCUCACCAAGGCGACGAUGCGUAGCCGACCUGAGAGGGUGAUCGGCCACAUUGGGACUGAGACACGGCCCAGACUCCUACGGGAGGCGCAUG